rnacentral:rRNA from 1 species
CCUACGGGAGGCUGCAGUGGGGGAUAUUGCACAAUGGGGGGAACCCUGAUGCAGCGACGCCGCGUGGGUGAAGACGCGCCUCGGCGCGUAAAGCCCUGUCAGCAGGGAAGAAAAUGACGGUACCUGAAGAAGAAGCCCUGGCUAACUACGUGACAGCAGCCGCGGUAAUACGGAGGGGGCAGGCGUUAUCCGGAUUUACUGGGUGUAAUGGGGGCGCAGGCGGCGAUGCAAGCCAGGAGUGAAAGGCCGGGGCCCAACCCCGGGACUGCUCUUGGAACUGGGGGGCUGGAGUGCAGGAGGGGCAGGCGGAAUUCCUGGUGUAGCGGUGAAAUGCUUAGAUAUCAGGAGGAACACCGGUGGCGAAGGCGGCCUGCUGGACUGCAACUGACGUUGAGGCCCGAAAGCGUGGGGAGCAAACAGGAUUAGAUACCCUGGUAGUC